rnacentral:sRNA from 1 species
GCUGGGUGCAGUGGUGUAUGCCUGUUUUCCAUCCACUAAGGAGGCUGAGGCAGGAGGACCACUUGAGUCUAUAAGACUAGCCUGGGCACCAUAUUGAGACCCUCUCUCAA